AUUGAACGCUGGCGGCAGGCCUAAUACAUGCAAGUCGAACGAGUGGCGGACGGGUGAGUAAUGUAUGGGAAACUGCCUGAUAGAGGGGUCUAACUACUGGAACCCGUAGCUAAUACCGCAUAUCAUCUGCUCUGCCCGAAUGGGAUUUGCUAGUGGGUGGGGUAACGGCUCACCUAGGCGACGAUCCGUAGCUGGUUUCAGAGGAUGACCAGCCACACUGGGACUGAGACACGGUCCAGACUCCUACGGGAGGCAGCAGUGGGGAAUAGUGCGCAAUGGGCGCAAGUCUGAUGCAGCAAGGCCGCGUGUGUGAAGAAGGCCUUCGGGUUGUAAAGUACUUUCAGCAGAGAAGCGUUACCCGCAGAAAAAGCACCGGCUAACUACGUGCCAGCAGCCGCGGUAAUAC
rnacentral:rRNA from 1 species